AAAAUAAAUGUGGUAAAACCUUGUAUAGUAUCAUAAUUUGGUUGAUAGUUUCUACCCGCUGACCUAAUCGGUGGACUACAAGGAAUCUUUUGACAUGG
rnacentral:ncRNA from 2 species